rnacentral:rRNA from 1 species
CACGUAGGGCGCGAGCGUUGUCCGGAAUUAUUGGGCGUAAAGAGCUCGUAGGCGGCCUGUUGCGUCCGCUGUGAAAGCCCGGGGCUUAACCCCGGGUCGGCAGUGGAUACGGGCAAGCUGGAGUACGGUAGGGGCAGAGGGAAUUUCCGGUGGAGCGGUGAAAUGCGUAGAGAUCGGAAAGAACACCAACGGCGAAAGCACUCUGCUGGGCCGACACUGACACUGAGAGACGAAAGCUAGGGGAGCGAACAGG